GUAUGUGUUUGAGAAUGUGGGGAAGAAACGAAUUCUUACGAUCAACAAGUGCACGCUGGCAGAUGAUGCUGCAUAUGAGGUGGCAGUCAAAGAUGAGAAGUGCUUCACUGAACUCUUUGUCAAAGAGCCUCCAGUCCUGAUUGUCACCCCACUGGAGGACCAGCAGGUGUUUGUGGGUGACCGAGUGGAAAUGUCAGUAGAGGUAUCUGAAGAGGGUGCACAGGUCAUGUGGAUGAAAGAUGGUGUGGAGAUGACGCGGGAGGAUUCCUACAAGGCACGCUACCGCUUCAAGAAGGACGGGAAGCGGCACAUCCUCAUCUACUCUGAUGUGGCCCAGGAGGAUGGGGGACGCUAUCAGGUCAUAACCAAUGGUGGCCAGUGUGAGGCUGAACUCAUUGUGGAAGGUAUGGCUUCCUCUCAGAGGGCUGGAUGAAAGCCCUGAGGCUCCAGAUCAGAGUGUGUCCUCUUCUACCCCAACAUGGCCAGACUCUCCAUCUUGUGCUUAGACUGGUGCAAUGAGCUUCCCGCUGCAUUGACAUUUCUCCCCCAGCUCACCACAUGCAGCACUGAAUGAGGUCUGUAUUCUGGUUGAUGUGGAUUCCAUAGGACUUUAUGUCCUAUGAGUCUAUAUUUCUCAGAAAGAAAGAAAGAGAGAAAGAAAGAAGGAAAGAAAGAAAGAGUAAAACAAAGC
rnacentral:lncRNA from 1 species